UUUCCUACGGGGGGCAGCAGUGGGGAAUAUUGCACAAUGGGGGAAACCCUGAUGCAGCGACGCCGCGUGAGUGAGGAAGUAUUUCGGUAUGUAAAGCUCUAUCAGCAGGGAAGAAAAUGACGGUACCUGACUAAGAAGCCCCGGCUAACUACGUGUCAGCAGCCGCGGUAAUACGUAGGGGGCAAGCGUUAUCCGGAUUUACUGGGUGUAAAGGGAGCGCAGACGGUGAGACAAGUCUGAAGUGAAAGCCCGGGGCUCAACCCCGGGACUGCUUUGGAAACUGCCUGACUGGAGUGCUGGAGAGG
rnacentral:rRNA from 1 species